rnacentral:lncRNA from 1 species
CGCGGCGCGCCCGUCUCCCCGCCGCAGGGGCGAAAGGCGGCGGCCGCGGAGCGGAGGCGUUGGUGCUGUCCGCGGCGGGCCAGCGGCCGCCGGCGCUGCGCAGCGUCUGCCCGGUGCGGUUUGUCCGGGGCUCGGUACCUCGUGUUUCUCUCCUAGCACCGAGGCGCAGCAGGUUAAUUCCUCAAGUCUGUUUACUGAGCAGCUCCAUAAGUAGAUAUAUCUACACAAAGAAGGAUGCAGCACAAGGAGAAGAAGGAGGAGAAGUAAUGGCAAUACAUUCAUUCUGCCAUUUGGAGGAGCCUGUGCCACAGAAUAAUGAUCUGAAGAAGGCUAACUUAUUUGCAAAGAAGAGUCUUCAUUUGGAAAGCAGUACUGAUGCAGCAAAGAGGUGCUUUGUCAAGUUCAGCAGAACUGUUAUUGUCCAUGUACUGGAGAUUGUGCUAGGUACAAAGCUGGUUUUCCUCGAAGAAUAA